GUCAGUUCCUUCGAGGCCGCAGGCGUCACCCUUCCGCGCCAGGCCUUCAUCUGUAAGCCGACCCAGGUGUUUCGAUUUUCUCAGGUCCUAGAUAAAGUACAUUCCAUAUCAAGGCCAAAGAGCUGAAGAGGACUCCUUUUGGUUGGGGGUCUGAGACUGCUCUUGCACCUGAGUUUCAUCUCAUCUCUGCUCUGUCACUCUGGGUACCAAGAACCUUGGCCAGAUGCUGGAGGCUGGCCCCCACACUCCAAGCCAGAGAACAGGCGGGGAUUUCUCUGCAGGGGAUCCUGGAUUUAGCCACAAUAUCUAGAUUAGGUAAUGAUGAGAAAAAUGCUGGCCAAAACACUGACGAAAUUUCCAAAAGGUAAAUUUCUGUGUAUUCACGCCUAAUCUUCCACAGUGGUGUAAAUAAUUUUUCUACCAUCCCUCAUCAUUUGCAAAAUUUUUUGUCAAGUCCAAACGUAAUUUAAAAUGAGGUAGGUAGCUCCUCUCCUCAUGCCUUUGUCUUUGUGGUGACAGUUGAGGCCUGUGCCAUGAAAGCACUCGUCUCCUGGGCAGGGGCAGCCCCGAGGGCGGGCACCAGUGGCUGGUAGAGCUUCUCAGUUGGCUAUUUUCUCAAUCUCGUCCAAAUCGUCUGUGUCCAAUCUUUCUAUCUUCUUAUCUGAGGGGAGGGGGGGGGAAGAAAGAUGUGAAGAGAGAUCAAAAUGGGGUUGCCAUGGAGACACAGCUGAAGUCACCCACAAGGAUAGUGUGGUAGGAAAAGGGAAGAUACAAGACCCUGCCCAAGAAUGGGCCGCUCUUUGGGCCACUACAAUGCUCCUUCCUCUUAACCCCAAAGGCUUCCAGAGCCUGAGCAGGGAGCUCUGACCAACAUCCAAAAGCCCAGGCCCUUCAGCCUGGCCACAGGGGAAUCGUCAUUAGAGCCCCUAAGCCCCCAGCGUUAUGUUUGUUCCUUGAGAACACCCAUCCAGCCAAUGGUAGAAGGGAAGGGAGGGAGCAUGUGUAGGAACAAAGGCCUCUCUCAGGGCCACAGGAAAACUUCCCCUUUCCCCACAUCCACCACAAAGGGGGUGCCUGCAGGAGACCCUCUGGGGACUCACUAAAAUGUUCCUGGAUUCUGUUCAGGAUGUUCAUGCUGUGCUUGCUGUCAACCAUGUUCACGGCCAGGCCUCUCUUGCCAAAGCGGCCAGUGCGCCCAAUCCGGUGCAGGUAGGUCUCGUUGUCUGGGUUCCCGUCCUUGUCCACAGGAAGAUCGAAGUUGAUGACGACAGAAACUUGUUCAACAUCGAUGCCUGCACAAAGGAGGGACACAGAGGAGUCAGGGCCAAAGACAUGGUCAGCCAUGCACCCACUCUGGUGGAGGGAGAGUCUGCAGCAGGUCACCUCUGAGCUAUUUGACACCAAGUCAGUCCAAAGUCCUGGGGUGCAGGCACAAGAGAGGACACAUAUUGGCGUACGUACCAGAACCUUGCAGGUACUAAAACCAUGAAACCACAAAGCAAGUCUUUGCUACACACGCAAGAGUGGAGAUGCUCUGGGAAGAGCUGGCUCUGUUUUGAGUGUCUCCUUGUACCUGGGCAUGACUGUUGGCUUCUAUAAAUUCCCAUCACCCGAAGGGAAAUCCCAUCUCUCCUGAAAAGGAUCCCCGCCAACCCCAGAGGGCUCCUAGAGACCAUCCAAGUCUCCUGGAUAUAAGGACUUCUCUCGCUAACAGGGCUGGGUGCCUGAGCCUAGGAUUCCAGGACAGUCUCUGCGUACCACGAGCACACACAUUGGUGGUCACCAGAACCUUCUCUUUGCCCUCUCGGAAGCGCUCAAUCACAGCAGCCCUCUGCUCCACCAUCAUUUCUCCACUCAGCAGAGCCACCUGGUGGCCUUCUUUUGAGAGCUCUGCUGCCAACCAACUAGCUGUUUUGCGGGUCUGGAAGGAAAAAUAAUUGUUUAAACUGAAAUGGCUUACUGCCAUUAAAAACACAGAAGCCCUGAUGAGAGUAAGCAGAAACAGUAUGAUUCUGUUUUCCAUACUUUUAUUGAUGCAGUCUAACAUAAUAGUGGGAUUCAUUGUUAUAUAUUCCUACAUGCCCGUGAUAUAACAAUUUGGUCAGUUGUAUAAUUUUGGGGGGAUGAUUUUUUUGUGUGUACUGGGAAUUGAACCCAGGGCCUCACAACUGGCUAGAAAAGUGCUCUAUCACUGAGCUAUGUCCCCAGCCCUUUAUAAUUUAAAUAAACAAAUAAAUAAAUUUCCCA